rnacentral:rRNA from 1 species
GUCUAUUUGGAGAUAUAAAAAGUCUGGCCUGCCCACUGAUUAAUUUGAAGGGCCGCGGUAAUCUGACCGUGCAAAGGUAGCAUAAUCGUUAGUUUUUUAAUUGGAAUCUUGUAUGAAUGGUUGAACAAAAGAAUAACUGUCUCUAUACUUUUCUUUGAAUUUAACUUUUAAGUGAAAAGGCUUAAAUACAUUAAAAAGACGAUAAGACCCUGUAAAGCUUAAUAAACACUUUUCAUUUAAUUGAAUUCUUAAAUAAAAAUUAAUUGAUUACUAUUUAUUAUGUUGGGGCGACAAUGAUAUAAUUUUUAUUAACUGUUUGAUGAAAAAUACAAGUAUUAGUUGAUUAUUAUAGUAAAUGAUCCUUUUAUUAAGAUUAAAAGUUUAAGUUACUUCAGGGAUAACAGCGUUAUUUUUCUUGAGAGUUCUUAUCGAAAGAAAAGUUUGCGACCUCGAUGUUGAAUUAAAAUUUCUUUAUAAUUGCAGAAGUUAUAACAGAAGGUCUGUUCGACCUUUAAAUUUUUACAUGAUUUGAGUUCAAACCGGCGUGAG